rnacentral:rRNA from 1 species
AUUGGAAUUAAUCAUUCCUUUGAUUACUGGUUGUAUUUUCCCGUUAGGAACUCGCUGUUUCGUCACUUAAUCGAGUGCGAAGCGGGCUGGUACAAAUAUUCCCUCUUUCGAGAGAUAUUGUUUCAGCAUGUUUACCUUGAGAAAAUUAGAGUGCUCACAGCAGGCAGUUGGAGAGUAAAAUCUUCUUUAUGCUUGAAUAAUGUUGCAUGGAAUAAUAGAAUACGGCCUCGGUUCUAUUCUGUUGGUCUUAUAGAACAACAAACAAGUUGAUUAAAGCGACAAAAAGUUUUAUUUAGAUGUGGUUUGUGUUAUUUAGUUGCCUAAAGCCUUAAAACUUUUGUGCCUAGUAAUCAUUCCAUCUAAGCAUCUUUAUAUAAACUAGCUUCCAAUCAACUGAGGCAAUGGUUAAAAGAAAUAGUCGCGGCGGCAUCAGUACUGCAUCGUGAGAGGUGAAAUUCUUAGACCGAUGCAAGACUAACUGAAGCGAAAGCGUUUGCCGAGGAUAUUUUCAUUAAUCAAGAACGAAAGUUAGAGGUUCGAAGGCGAUCAGAUACCGCCCUAGUUCUAACCAUAAACGUUGCCAACUAGCAAUUGGGUUGCGAUUCCUUUAAUCGAGUGUGUAAAAACCUCGAUCAUUAUGAUCCACCCAGCGGCUCUCGUAGGGAAACCAAAGUUGGGUUCCGGGGGAAGUAUGAUUGCAAAGUUGAAACUUAAAGGAAUUGACGGAAGGGCACCACCAGGAGUGGAGCCUGCGGCUUAAUUUGACUCAACACGGGGAAACUUACUAGAUUAGAACUCUGGAAUGAUUGACAGAUUGAUAGCUCUUUCUUGAUUCAGAGGAUGGUGGUGCAUGGCCGUUCUUGAUUCGUACUCCGAAGCGUCUGCUUAAUUGCGAUAACGAGUGAGACCUCACCCAACUAACUAGUCGCUUGGUGCGCUCUGGAACACAAAAGUCUUGCUUUUAUGGGAAAAGAUUUCGGUCUGGACUUGUUUAGGUUAAGAUGUUCUGUGCUCGCCGGCGGACUUCUUAGAGGGAUAAACGGUGUUUUAGCCGUAAGAAACGAGGCAAUAACAGGUCUGUGAUGCCCUUAGAUAUUCUAGGCCGCACGCGUGCUACAAUGGCGUGUGCAAAAAGCUUGUUCGAGGUUUGUCUAAAGAGAACUAAUCAUUUGGUGGCUAAUUAGGGGCAACUUUAGUUGGUUAUCGGUGGAAAAGUGACUUUAGUUAGCAGGCCGAGAGAAACCGUAGUCGAAAGAUUACGGCAAUCAUAAAUACACGCCGUGAUUUGGGAUUGGGGAUUGCAAUUGUUGCCCAUGAACGAGGAAUUCCCAGUAAGCGCAAUUCAUCAUAUUGCGUUGAUUACGUCCCUGCCCUUUGUACACACCGCCCGUCGCUACUACCGAUUGGAAGUUUUAGUGAGGCAUUUGGACCUGUUGUUCAUGAAAUGGGCAACCAUUUUGGAACGACGGGGAAGUCUGUCGAACUCAAAUUUCUAGAGGAAGUAAAAGUCGUAACAAGGUUUCCGUAGGUGAACCUGCGGAAGG